rnacentral:rRNA from 1 species
CCUACGGGUGGCAGCAGUAGGGAAUCUUCCACAAUGGACGAAAGUCUGAUGGAGCAACGCCGCGUGAGUGAAGAAGGUUUUCGGCUCUUAAAGCUCUUGUGGUCGUGAAGAAAGAUAGAGGUAGUAACUGGCCUUUAUUUGACGGUAAUUACUUAGAAAGUCACGGCUAACUACGUGCCACCAGCCGCGGGAAUACGUAGGUGGCAAGCGUUGUCCGGAUUUUAUGGGCGUAAAGCGAGUGCAGGCGGUUCAAUAAGUCUGAUGUGAAAGCCUUCGGCUCAACCGGAGAAUUGCAUCAGAAACUGUUGAACUUGAGUGCAGAAGAGGAGAGUGGAAUUCCAUGUGUAGCGGUGAAAUGCGUAGAUAUAUGGAAGAACACCAGUGGCGAAGGCGGCUCUCUGGUCUGCAACUGACGCUGAGGCUCGAAAGCGUGGGUAGCGAACAGGAUUAGAUACCCGAGUAGUC